GGCUUUCCCUGACGCUGAGGCGCGAAAGCUGGGGGAGCAAACGGGAUUAGAUACCCCGGUAGUCCCAGCCGUAAACGAUGGGUACUAGGUGUAGGGGGUAUCGACCCCCCCUGUGCCGGAGUUAACACAAUAAGUACCCCGCCUGGGGAGUACGGCCGCAAGGUUGAAACUCAAAGGAAUUGACGGGGGCCCGCACAAGCAGUGGAGCAUGCGGUUUAAUUCGAAGCAACGCGCAGAACCUUACCAGGGCUUGACAUCCCCUGACAACACCGGAAACGGUGCCUUCCCGGCUUGCCGGGACAGGGUGACAGGUGGUGCAUGGUUGUCGUCAGCUCGUGUCGUGAGAUGUUGGGUUAAGUCCCGCAACGAGCGCAACCCUCGUCCUUUGUUGCCAUCACUUAGGGUGGGCACUCAAAGGAGACCGCCGGAGACGAUCUGGAGGAAGGUGGGGAUGAGGUCAAAUCAUCAUGCCCCUUAUGUCCUGGGCGACACGCGUGCUACAAUGGCCGAUACAACGGGUUGCAAUGCCGCGAGGCGGAGCUAAUCCCUUAAAGUCGGCCUCAGUUCGGAUUGCAGGCUGAAACUCGCCUGCAUGAAGCUGGAAUUGCUAGUAAUCGCGGAUCAGAACGCCGCGGUGAAUACGUUCUCGGGCCUUGUACACACCGCCCGUCAAGCCACGAAAGUCGGCAACACCCGAAGCCAGUGGGCCAACCGCAAGGAGGCAGCUGUCUAAGGUGGGGCUGGUGAUUGGGGCUAAGUCGUAACAAGGUAACCGUA
rnacentral:rRNA from 1 species